rnacentral:lncRNA from 1 species
UAGAAAGUUACAUCAAUGUGCUGGAGAGUUGUGAAGCCCUGGAUGGACAAGAUGGCCACAGAAGGGACUUUGUGUUUCAGCAAGACUUGGUUCCAGCUCACAAGGCAAGGAAUAUCUAGGCCUGGCUUUUCAGUAACCUGCCCUAACAUUGGUCACCUGACUUGUGGCCUCCAUCCAGCCCAGACUGCAACUCUCUCGACUGUUACGUUGGGGCAUGGUUGAAGCAAAGGUUGAAUGAUUUUGAUUAUUUAUAAUCAAAAUCAUUGUAUUUAACUUUUUCUCUAGUUUUCUUUUAAAUAUAUUUAUUUUUUCCUGCAUUUUUGUUAUUUUUAUUUACAU